GAUGAACGCUAGCGGCAGGCCUAACACAUGCAAGUCGAGGGAGAAGCCCUUUCGGGGGCAGAAACCGGCGCACGGGUGCGUAACGCGUAUGCAACCUACCUUUCACAGGGGGAUAGCCCGAAGAAAUUUGGAUUAAUACCCCAUAAUAUUAUUGGAUCGCAUCAUUUGAUAAUUAAAACUGCGGUGGUGAAAGAUGGGCAUGCGUCCUAUUAGCUAGUUGGAGUGGUAACGGCACCCCAAGGCUACGAUAGGUAGGGGUCCUGAGAGGGAGAUCCCCCACACUGGUACUGAGACAGGGACCAGACUCCUACGGGAGGCAGCAGUGAGGAAUAUUGGUCAAUGGUCGGAAGACUGAACCAGCCAUGCCGCGUGCAGGAAGAAUGCCUUAUGGGUUGUAAACUGCUUUUAUAUGGGAAGAAUAAGGCGUACGUGUACGUUGAUGACGGUACCAUAUGAAUAAGCAUCGGCUAACUCCGUG
rnacentral:rRNA from 1 species